ACUAAAAUCAUCACUGAUAAA
rnacentral:piRNA from 1 species